UAUGUAUAAUAUAACUAAAAUAUGUGUAUGACUAAUAUAUAUAACUAAAAUAUAUAUAACUAAAAUAUGCAUAUAACUAAAAAUAUGUAACAAAUAUAUAUAUAACUAAAAUAUAUGUAUAACUAAUAUAUAUAUAGCUAAAAUAUAUCCGUAACUAAAAUGUAUAGGUAACUAAUAUAUAUGUAUAUGACCAGGCUCCUAUCAGACAUCACCGUCCGGAGAGGCCACAGCUACCAGCCAUGACAGAGUCCUGCGAGUCUGUCUCACGGGCGCCCCUGUGGUCUGUCCUCACCUGCCCUCUUGCCGUGCUCCUGGCCGAUGGUUGUAGGCGCUGCACCAACGUCCUCGGGUUUGCGCCCUCCCUCCCCGGGCCAGUCCAGAUGCUGACCGGGAAUGGACGUCUCUGAGACUGCCGCUUCGCGGCCCUCAGAUCACCCCUCAGGAAGAGGUCUCUGGGUUCCGGCCUAUGAACGUUUUUAUGGCUUUGAUCCGUAUCGUCCAGCGGUGUGAAGGACGCUUUGCUGAAUCUGAUGUGCCACUUUGAUUUGGUGAUGUUUUCUCCUGCCAGUUUGCGACGAUAAGGUAAGAGAAUACCUUGUGCUCCAUGGAGGGAGUCAGAUCUGGGUCUGA
rnacentral:lncRNA from 1 species